CCUACGGGGUGCAGCAGUGGGGAAUAUUGGACAAUGGGCGAAAGCCUGAUCCAGCCAUGCCGCGUGUGUGAAGAAGGCCUUCGGGUUGUAAAGCACUUUCAGUGGGGAAGAAAGCCUUGGGGCUAAUACCCUCGAGGAAGGACAUCACCCACAGAAGAAGCACCGGCUAACUCCGUGCCAGCAGCCGCGGUAAUACGGAGGGUGCGAGCGUUAAUCGGAAUUACUGGGCGUAAAGCGCGCGUAGGCGGUCUGAUAAGCCGGUUGCGAAAGCCCCGGGCUCAACCUGGGAACGGCAUCCGGAACUGUCAGGCUAGAGUGCAGGAGAGGAAGGUAGAAUUCCCGGUGUAGCGGUGAAAUGCGUAGAGAUCGGGAGGAAUACCAGUGGCGAAGGCGGCCUUCUGGACUGACACUGACGCUGAGGUGCGAAAGCGUGGGUAGCAAACAGGAUUAGAUACCCUUGUAGUC
rnacentral:rRNA from 1 species